UGUUAAGGCUAGGGGGUCAUCCCGACUUACCAACCCUUUGCAAACUCCGAAUACCGUAAAGUACUAUCCGGGAGACACACGGCGGGUGCUAACGUCCGUCGUGAAGAGGGAAACAACCCAGACCGCCAGCUAAGGUCCCAAAGUCAUAGUUAAGUGGGAAACGAUGUGGAAAGGCCCAGACAGCCAGGAGGUUGGCUUAGAAGCAGCCAUCCUUUAAAGAAAGCGUAAUAGCUCACUGGUCGAGUCGGUCUGCGCGGAAGAUGUAACGGGGCUAAACUAUGCACCGAAGCUGCGGAUUCAUACUUUGUAUGAGUGGUAGGGGAGCGUUCUGUAAGCGGUUGAAGGUGUACCGGGAGGUAUGCUGGACGUAUCAGAAGUGCGAAUGCUGACAUGAGUAACGAUAAUGCGGGUGAAAAACCCGCACGCCGGAAGACCAAGGGUUCCUAUCCCAUGUUAAUCAGGGUAGGGUAAGUCGACCCCUAAGGCGAGGCCGAAAGGCGUAGUCGAUGGGAAACGGAUUAAUAUUUCCGUACUUGGUAUAAUUGCGAUGGGGGGACGGAGAAGGCUAAGCAAGCAUGGCGAUGGUUGUCCAUGUGAAAGUGAGUAGGGCGUUUGUUUAGGUAAAUCCGGACGAACAUUAAACCUGAGACACGAGACGAGUCACUACGGUGAUGAAGUUGCUGAUGCCAUACUUCCAGGAAAAGCCUCUAAGCUUCAGAUUAUACCGAAUCGUACCCCAAACCGACACAGGUGGUCAGGUAGAGAAUACUAAGGCGCUUGAGAGAACUCGGGUGAAGGAACUAGGCAAAAUCGUACCGUAACUUCGGGAGAAGGUACGCUCCUAUCUGUGAUGAGACUUGCUCUCUAAGCGGACGGGAGCCGCAGUGACCAGGUGGCUGGGACUGUUUAUUAAAAACACAGCACUGUGCAAAAUCGCAAGAUGACGUAUACGGUGUGACACCUGCCCGGUGCCGGAAGGUUAAUUGAUGGGGUUAUCUUCGGAGAAGCUCUUGAUCGAAGCCCCGGUAAACGGCGGCCGUAACUAUAACGGUCCUAAGGUAGCGAAAUUCCUUGUCGGGUAAGUUCCGACCUGCACGAAUGGUGUAACCAUGGCCACGCUGUCUCCACCCGAGACUCAGUGAAAUUGAAAUCGCAGUGAAGAUGCUGUGUACCCGCGGCUAGACGGAAAGACCCCGUGAACCUUUACUACAGCUUGGCACU
rnacentral:rRNA from 1 species